rnacentral:rRNA from 1 species
AACGAACGCUGGCGGCGCGCCUAAUACAUGCAAGUCGAGCGAGAAGGUGUAGCAAUACACUUGUAAAGCGGCGAACGGGUGAGGAAUACAUGGGUAAUCUACCAUCGAGUGGGGAAUAACCAGCCGAAAGGUUGGCUAAUACCGCGUACGCUUCCGAGUCUUCGGGCUUGGAAGGAAAGCCGCACUGUGAGUGCGGCGCUCUUUGAUGAGCUCAUGUCCUAUCAGCUUGUUGGUAGGGUAACGGCCUACCAAGGCUUUGACGGGUAGCUGGUCUGAGAGGACGAUCAGCCACACUGGCACUGCGACACGGGCCAGACUCCUACGGGAGGCAGCAGUAAGGAAUAUUGCGCAAUGGGCGAAAGCCUGACGCAGCGACGCCGCGUGGGGGAGUGAAGGUCUUCGGAUUGUAAACCCCUUUCGGGAGGGAAGAUGGAGCGAGCAAUCGUUCGGACGGUACCUCCAGAAGCAGCCACGGCCAACUUCGUGCCAG